UGGGGCUAUAGCUCAGCUGGGAGAGCGCUUGCAUGGCAUGCAAGAGGUCGACGGUUCGAUCCCGUCUAGCUCCACCAA
rnacentral:tRNA from 9 species